rnacentral:rRNA from 1 species
UCUCUCUUUUCUUCUUUGGCUGUCCGAGUUGUAAUCUAGAGAAGUGCUUACCCGUGCUGCACCAUGUACAAGUCUCCUGGAAUGGAGCGUCGUAGAGGGUGAGAAUCCCGUCUUUGACAUGGACUUGCCAGUGCAUAGUGGUGCGCUCUCAAAGAGUCGAGUUGUUUGGGAAUGCAGCUCUAAAUGGGUGGUAAACUCCAUCUAAAGCUAAAUAUUGGCGAGAGACCGAUAGCGAACAAGUACCGUGAGGGAAAGAUGAAAAGCACUUUGGAAAGAGAGUUAAACAGUAUGUGAAAUUGUUGAAAGGGAAACACUUGAAGUCAGUUGUGUCUGCUUAGGGAUCAACUCAGCUGAUCUUGCUGCGUGAACUUCCUAGUGUGACAGGCCAACAUCAGUUCUGACUGUUGGAAAAGGGCAGAGGGAAUGUGCCACCUUUGGGUGUGUUUUAUAGCCUUUUGUCAUAUAUAGCAGUCGGGACUGAGGAAUUGCAGCGCGCCGCGAGGGGGCAGGGUCUUUUGACCACGUUCGCGCUUAGGAUGUUGGCGUUUAAUGGCUUCAAUUGACCCGUCUUGAAACACGGACCAAGGAGUCUAACAUGCCUGCGAGUGUUUGGGUGAAGAAACCCUUGUGCACAAUGAAAGUGAAAGUUGAGAUCCCUGUCGUGGGGAGCAUCGACGCCCGGACCGGAGCUUUUAGCGAUGGAUCUGCGGUAGAGCAUGCAUGUUGGGACCCGAAAGAUGGUGAACUAUGCCUGAAUAGGGCAAAGCCAGAGGAAACUCU